rnacentral:lncRNA from 1 species
CCAAUUAUAGUGGUCAGCAUUCCCAAGACAAUGUUAUGUAACAGUAAUGCUAGCCAGACCUUUUCUGAUUCAUGACUUUUUAAAAGGAAUUUAGUAUUUCACUGAAUACUAAAAUAGAAAUUCUAGUAUUUUACCAUUUCUAGUAACAAAAUGCUGGCUUCUGGUCUGAGAUAUAUAAAACCUUAGCUAAGUUAACUCAUUCUUAUUUUACUAAGGACUCUUAUUAGAAAUAAAUGUUAGAGUUCCUGUUGUAGCUCAGGGGUAGAGAACCUGACUAGUAUCCAUGAGGAUGUGGGUUUGAACCCUGGACCCGCUCAGUGGGUUAUGGAUCUGGUGUUGCUCCGAGCUGUGGUAUAGGUUGGAGAUGUGGCUCCGAUUUGACCCUAGCCUGGGAACUUCCAUAUGCCCCAGACGUAGCCCUAUUAAAAAAAAAAAAAAAGAAAUGUUGAUUCCCCCUCUUUUGAUAUCCCUCAGGAUAGUCAUACGCCCCCACCUACUAAUGAGUUAAUUUGAUUUAUCUUUACAUUCUUAGAGUACAUUACAUUCUGAGUAAUUCCUACUGUUAUAGUAUUAUUAUGUUAAUGUAAUGUACAUUCUAUUUGAUAGUUUUACUAAGCAUUCUUUGCACCAACUUUUGUGAGACUGGUGUGUAAUUUUCUUUACAUACCUAUGUUAUGCUGGCUUUGUAAAAAGAACCAGGAAGCUUACCUUUUUUCCCCCUCUAAGUUCUGAAAUUAAUUAUCUGGUGCUUUUUGCAGUAAUAUUCUCAUACCAGUAAGACCAGCAUUUUUAUUCGUGGCUCCAGAUCCUUUCUUUCACAUUUGCUUGAGGAAACCAACACCCUUUCUUUUCAAUCUCUCACUUCAACCUAUGAACAUGUUUAAGUCUUAACUAUCCUAAACAUACAUCCAUGUACACACUCGUACCACAAAAUUUUUCCUUACCAGUUGUCUUCAGUAAGUAUUUAUUCACACAUUUUAAGGUAUUAAAAUUGCUACUUUAUUCAAGGCACUGCAAAUGAAAUGCAGUUCCUGUGCUCUACCUAUUCCCAAUCCAGUAAGGAACACAAAUAAAUAUACAAAAACUGCCAAGAACGAUGCAAGGAAUAAACAGGCUAUGCUAGGCCACCUCUCUCUUACUGCGUGCCUUGCCAAACUUCUCUACUGUGUAUGCUAUGGCCUCAACUUUGUUUUCAAUUGCCUUCAAAUUUCCUCCCUUGAUAAUAGUUUUAUUCAAAUCACCAAAUCCAAUCAACUUUUCAGCAUCCUCAUCUACCAUUUUUCCAUAACUUUGCUACUUGAGUCAUGAACCUUUUAAUAAAUCCAAUUAGACCUUCAAAUGUACUCAGUUAAAUUUUGUUUUCUAAAAGGAAGGUCACAAAAUAUUUUCAUUCACAAAGUAAGUUUUAUUAAGGCCACACCCAGGCUAGGGGUCAAAUAGAAAAUACAACUGCCAGCCUACAUCACAAUUGCAGCAACAGGGGAUCCAAGUCAUGUCUGUGACCUACACCACAGCUCAUGGCAACGCCGGAUCCUUAGCCCACUGAGUAAGGCCACAGAUUGAACCUCUGUCCUCAUAGAUAUUAGUCGGGUUCAUUACCAUUGAGCCACAAUAGGAACUCCCUCAUUAUAUAAUUUGAUCCUCAUGAAAAAUCAUCAAGAAGGACCAGGUAGUUAUUACUCUCAUUUGCAAGGUUUGGAAACUAAGUACUUUACUGAUUAUCGAAACUCCAAUAAGCAGCAGAGUUAGGGCUAGAAAUGUAAUUUGUGGCUUUCUAAUUCCAGGUCUAGGUUUCUUUCCUCUACAUUUUAUUAACUUGAUUGAUUAAUUACUAACUUGAAUGCUUACUGAUCAUUCUCUUCUUGAAAACUUUUCUGGUCAACACUGCACAUUCUUCUAGUUUCCUAGGUUCCUUAUUUUCAUGCUUCUUAGUCAAAAGGAGGUAGGAACAAACUUAUGACAUUCAUUCUCUCAUUUCUUCCUCUGGCAUCUCAUCUACACUUACAGCAUAAUCUAGGAAGAAGCUCCUUUAAAUUGUAAUUUAAACUUUCUGCUCUACUUGAUGAAACUUUAACAUUCAGAAUCAUAGAAUUUGAUGCUGAAAGGGCCUUAGAGAUUAUGUAGUCCAACAUCCUUAUUUAAUAGAAGAAAAACAUAAAUUUCAACACAUAGAAGUCAGUAGCAGAAUCUGAAUAAACGUUUAAGAUAUUUCCCUUUUUAAACUUAUGAAUCAUAAAAUAAAUAAUACAUAUACAGCAUAUUUAUGUACAGUAAGUAGAAAGCAAAUGAAUUUUAAGAGUAAUUAUUGGACAUUCUUGUUAAAGACACUUGUCCGUAUUUCUAAUAUGACAACAAUAAUGUAUGAUUCCAUUUAUCAAAGUAGUUUAAGAAAAUCACAGAAUGUCAAAAAAGUUAAAACCUAGUCAAUUCUUUAUAUUCAGGCAUUAAUUAUUUAUCUUCCAGAUUUUUCUUAAGUAAACUGGGAAUCAAAAUCACACCACUACCUAGCCUAAUGCUUCUGACCUAGGUUGAUAUCAUGACCCACUUUACAAGGCAGGAACAGAUACCACUAGACUGCUGAAAACCACUUAGAUCAGUGCCUGGCACGUGGUAAGCAGGGAAAAUAUGUCAGCUAGGACUGCAGCUACAACAAUUACUACUUCUGAUUAUAUUCAUGUUAUUAUAAAUAUGGCCAUAUUAAUGAUUCAACCAUACAGACAAGCAUCCUUUUAGAGGACCCGUACCUCACUCUACUCCUUUCGGUCUAAUGGCGAGGUUUUGUUCCACAACCUAAGCAGGGCCACAACCCUUAGUUAUCUAAGAAUACCUUUCCAACCACUCCCAACCCAGAAGUACUUUAAUAUCUCAACAUCAGAGCCCAGAGGCUCUGAAAAUUAAGAGUGCAUUUAAAGGGAAAUUUUCUAAGCCAACACUUCUAAACUUACAAGCUCAUUUAUGCAUGAUAUGGAACACAUGAAAAAUAAAAGGGACUCUCACUUGAAGAUCUUCUUCCUCUCAAUUGUGCUUAAGUUUAAACUAAAACUCUUCUCCAAAUGAGCUUCCCUGCUUCAACUUCCCAUUUUUAUCAGAAAUAGCAAUUUUCUCUUUAGCCUAAAAACUGAAAUUACCUUAACUCUUCUCCUGCCUUUCUUUACCUUU